rnacentral:rRNA from 1 species
GUUGCGGUUAAAAGCUCGUAGUUGGAUUUCUGUUGAGGAUGACCGGUCCGCUCUUUGAGCGCGUAUCUGGUUCAGCCUUGGCAUCCUCUUGGGGAACGCUACUGUGCUUGAUUGCAUGGGGCGGUAUUCAAAACUUUUACUUUGAGGAAAUUAGAGUGUUCACUGCAAGCGUUAGCAAUUGAAUACAUUAGCAUGGAAUAAUAAUAUAGGACCUUGGUACUAUUUUGUUGGUUUCUAGAACUAAGGUAAUGAUUAAUAGGGACAAUUGGGGGCAUUCGUAUUAACGCGUCAGAGGUGGAAUUCUUAGAUUGCGUUACGACGAACUACUGCGAAAGCAUUUGCCAAGGAUGUUUUCAUUGAUCAAGAACGAAAGUAUGGGGAUCGA